AUUGAACGCUGGCGGCAUGCCUUACACAUGCAAGUCGAACGGCAGCACGGGAGCAAUCCUGGUGGCGAGAGGCGAACGGGUGAGUAAUAUAUCGGAACGUGCCCAGUCGUGGGGGAUAACGCAGCGAAAGCUGUGCUAAUACCGCAUACGAUCUACGGAUGAAAGCGGGGGAGCGCAAGACCUCGCGGGAUUGGAGCAGCCGAUAUCAGAUUAGCUAGUUGGUGAGGUAAAGGCUCACCAAGGCGACGAUCUGUAGCUGGUCUGAGAGGACGACCAGCCACACUGGAACUGAGACACGGUCCAGACUCCUACGGGAGGCAGCAGUGGGGAAUUUUGGACAAUGGGCGCAAGACUGAUCCAGCAAUGCCGCGUGCAGGAUGAAGGCCUUCGGGUUGUAAACUGCUUUUGUACGGAACGAAACGGCGAGCUCUAAUACAGUUUGCUAAUGACGGUACCGUAAGAAUAAGCACCGGCUAACUACGUGCCAGCCGCCGCAGUAAAAC
rnacentral:rRNA from 1 species